CUUGAACGUGGGAGGCAGAGACUGCAGUGAGCCGGGUUGUGUCACUGCACUCCAGCCUGGGCGACAGAGCGACAGAGUGAGACUCCUUCUCAAAAAAAGAAAGACUAAAUCAAAGAGCACAGGGAGGAGGAGGUGCAUGCAAGCGAUACUGCAGGGCCAGAAUCAGAAUCAUCAGCACGUAGCAACUGAUUGGAUUUCUGGAGCAAGAAAGAAGAGUUGAAGAUAAUGUUGAACUUUCUCAUUGGGAGAUUUUACUAACAUUAUUGAGCAAUUACUGCAUGAUGGAUGUUACGCUAAGAGCAUUCUACAAUUAUUAUACCUCUUACGUCUCCCAGUAGUUCUGUUAAGCACACAAUACACCGAGCAAGAGUUUCAGGCAUUCUGAAAAUGCAGGGGACAUAUCCCAGUAAGAAUGGCACUGAAUACUGUGGAUACAAAGAGCCCAGAGUCAUCAAGAGGAACCAGGAACUCUAACAUGAUGUGUGGAGCAGGCUAUGCAAAGAGGGGUACCUCUCCCAGUCAGAGGCAUCAGAGAAGGCUUCCUGGUGGAGACUAUUGAUAUCAACCUUGCUCAACUGGUUGAAAUAGUGUUUGUCACAUUUCUUCAUUGUGAAGUUACUUUUCCCUCUUUCCACACUACUCUUCAGAAGGAAGUCACUUAAAGAAUGGGAAGCUAUGUUCCACCUCCUUCAGGAACGUGUGUGAUGGACUUAUGGACUCAUUCACUGCAUCGAUCUUGGGCACUGCCCAGCUUCAUGUUCCACUCUCCCGUUUAUCCCAAAUUGCUGAGGAUUUCCUAAGAACCAUCACUUUCCAGAGCUCAUUAUUUUCUGUUAUUUGCCUCAGCAGCACAAGCUGUUUUCACAAAGAAAUAAAGGGUCUUCUAUUCCAGAAGAGUUCUUCUAUGCAUGUAGGUGAGCAGACAGUGCAGAGCCAUGCUGAGGUGUGUGUGCCUUGCUGUCACUGUCUCUCCUCCGGGAGGAACACUAGGCUCCUGUACACCAGGCUUCCCACAGCCCAGGAGGAACACAUCCACGCCUUGCCAGUCAUUUGCAUCUUAGUAAGACUAAAACUAAUAAAACUAACAAUAAAACUUAAAAUAGAUUGAAGGA
rnacentral:lncRNA from 1 species